GCGCCGACGGUGCCGAUCAAUAUAUCGUGAGGGCAGACACAAGCCGCGCGCAUGCACGGUCGCGGUUCGAUAGCGACGAGCUCGUUUCUAUCCUAUCGCUUGGAUCCUGGAAUUCUGCACUUCCAGAGAGGAGAACGCUAUUCUUGCCCUUGUCGGUGGAAAAACGCAGAAAUCUGUCACGAUGUCGAGCAGCAAGUGCGUGAAGCAGCCGCGUAAGGCGUAUACCAAGGAGCAGCAUGAGAUGACGCAUUCCGAGAAGCUGAGGCUGAUCGACGACGAGCUGAACUCCUUUUACAAGUACUGCCAGCAGGCGGGCUUCACCGAGGAGGAAAUGGACAUCAUUUGUCAGCCACUCGUGGCGGCGAUGCGUCGGUCAUGGCUGCAGCUCGUCUUUCGUGGCACCCUGGUGCUGAUAGUACUGGGCACCCUGGCAUGCCUCGCGGCUCAGCUGGAUUUCGUUGGCACCCAUUUUACCGCCCUCAGCCGUUUGUUGCUGAUCAAAGUUUUACCGCUCUGGAACUGGCAGCCACUCUAUUACGAAAAUUGCAUGAUCAACAAUCCUUUCUACAACGAUUACACCAUCACAGAGGAGGACUGCGUGACCUGCGAGGCAUUAGAGACGAUUGAUCGUUUGUCGGAUGUACGGUACCGUAAUUUGGUCGACAAUUAUCUGAAUCGCGACGCACCUGCUAUCAUCACCGAUGCGAUGGAUUCAUGGGCGGUCAUGAAUACUGAUUACUUCUGGUUCGAUAAUAUCACUCACCUCUACCUGGAGAACGAACGACUAAUGGAGACUGUACCUUGCGCCCUGACCUCGAAUCUGCGUACCGGAUCAUCCGAUCUCGCAGCGUUUCUACGGCGCGUACACGCGCCCGAGGUGGCCAAGUGGUUCGUCCACUGGCAGAACUGCGACAUCAAUGCCGUGAAGGUGCUCAGAAAGUACUAUCAACGGCCGUAUUUCCUCUCCAGCACGGUCUCACCGGCGCAUUUCAACUGGGUGCUCAUGUCCUCGGAUUACAACAGCCCGAGCUACAAGAAGGUCGAGCUCGACUCCGGUCUGAUCGCCCUCGCUCAGCUCCGUGGUGCGACUCAGCUGCGCCUCACCCCUAUAAAUCCCUGCAACAGUUCGUGCCCCGAGCUGAUCGCCGAUUUGCACCAGGGCGAGAUGCGUAAGUGCCGCGACUGAAAUUGGACCGAGGUACGGAGCACCUUUAGUGGCCCGCGAUAAGCCGGACUGGCUGGCGUUCUGAAAAGGCCACGCUAAAAUAUUUCCAUCGUUUUCACGAACUUGAUGUGGACUCUCGAGUACGCGCCGAUGCGCGGUUUGGACAACAUCGCCAUACUCACGGAAACCGUCUGGGAGGAAGAUACGUAGAUCGCGUUUCGGAGAAGAAAAUACCUUUUAUCGCGCAAAAUAUCCUUAGUUCCAAAAUAUUCUCCGACGUGACAGCUAUAUAUCGAUUCGAUAUAUUGUAUACUCAUACCCCAUUAUGAUACCAAAUAAAAAUUAAACAUUCUGGUU